AUUGAACGCUGGCGGGAGGCUUAACACAUGCAAGUCGAGCGAGUGGCGGACGGGUGAGUAAUAUCUGGGAAACUGCCCGAUGGAGGGGGAUAACUACUGGAAACGGUAGCUAAUACCGCAUACUAUCAGAUGUGCCCAUAUGGGAUUAGCUAGUUGGUGGGGUAAGGGCUCACCAAGGCGACGAUCCCUAGCUGGUCUGAGAGGAUGACCAGCCACACUGGAACUGAGACACGGUCCAGACUCCUACGGGAGGCAGCAGGGGGGUAUAGUGCACAAUGGGCGAAAGCCUGAAGCAGCCAUGCCGCGUGUGUGAAGAAGGCCUUCGGGUUGUAAAGCACUUUCGGCGAGGAGGCGUUACCUGCAGAAUAAGCACCGGCUAACUCCGUGCCAGCAGCCGCGGUAAUA
rnacentral:rRNA from 1 species